GUAGGUGGCAAGCGUUGUCCGGAAUUAUUGGGCGUAAAGCGCGCGCAGGCGGUUCUUUAAGUCUGAUGUGAAAGCCCACGGCUCAACCGUGGAGGGUCAUUGGAAACUGGAGAACUUGAGUACAGAAGAGGAAAGCGGAAUUCCACGUGUAGCGGUGAAAUACGUAGAGAUGUGGAGGAACACCAGUGGCGAAGGCGGCUUUCUGGUCUGUAACUGACGCUGAGGCGCGAAAGCGUGGGGAGCAAACAGGGAUUAGAUACCCUGGUAGUCCACGCCGUAAACGAUGAGUGCUAAGUGUUAGGGGGUUUCCCGCCCCUUAGUGCUGCAGCUAACGCAUUAAGCACUCCGCCUGGGGAGUACGGCCGCAAGGCUG
rnacentral:rRNA from 1 species